rnacentral:rRNA from 1 species
GAUGAACGCUGGCGGCGUGCCUAAUACAUGCCAGUCGAGCGAACAGACGAGGAGCUUGCUCCUCUGACGUUAGCGGCGGACGGGUGAGUAACACGUGGAUAACCUACCUAUAAGACUGGGAUAACUUCGGGAAACCGGAGCUAAUACCGGAUAAUAUAUUGAACCGCAUGGUUCAAUAGUGAAAGACGGUUUUGCUGUCACUUAUAGAUGGAUCCGCGCCGCAUUAGCUAGUUGGUAAGGUAACGGCUUACCAAGGCAACGAUGCGUAGCCGACCUGAGAGGGUGAUCGGCCACACUGGAACUGAGACACGGUCCAGACUCCUACGGGAGGCAGCAGUAGGGAAUCUUCCGCAAUGGGCGAAAGCUUGACGGAGCAACGCCGCGUGAGUGAUGAAGGUCUUCGGAUCGUAAAACUCUGUUAUUGGGGAAGAACAAAUGUGUAAGUAACUAUGCACGUCUUGACGGUACCUAAUCAGAAAGCCACGGCUAACUACGUG